CCACUGAUGGUCCAGUGGGUAAGACUCAGCACUCCCAAUGUAGAGGGCCUGGGUUCAAAUCCUUGGUCAGGGAA
rnacentral:tRNA from 1 species